rnacentral:ncRNA from 1 species
GCCAAUGAAAUGGGGUGCUUGCAAAAAUAUGUAGGCUGAGAUGAUACCCAAGAGCGCUUUUAUGCUGUACCUGAUCCGGAUAAUGCCGGCGUAGGGAUUUUAUGUAAGGAGCUA